rnacentral:rRNA from 1 species
GACGAACGCUGGCGGCGUGCUUAACACAUGCAAGUCGAACGGAAAGGCCCUGCUUUUGUGGGGUGCUCGAGUGGCGAACGGGUGAGUAACACGUGAGUAACCUGCCCUUGACUUUGGGAUAACUUCAGGAAACUGGGGCUAAUACCGGAUAGGAGCUCCUGCUGCAUGGUGGGGGUUGGAAAGUUUCGGCGGUUGGGGAUGGACUCGCGGCUUAUCAGCUUGUUGGUGGGGUAGUGGCUUACCAAGGCUUUGACGGGUAGCCGGCCUGAGAGGGUGACCGGCCACAUUGGGACUGAGGUACGGCCCAGACUCCUACGGGGGGCAGCAGGGGGGAAUAUUGCACAAUGGGCGGAAGCCUGAUGCAGCAACGCCGCGUGCGGGAUGACGGCCUUCGGGUUGUAAACCGCUUUCGCCUGUGACGAAGCGGGAGUGACGGUAAUGGGUAAAGAAGCACCGGCUAACUACGUG